rnacentral:rRNA from 1 species
AUUGAACGCUGGCGGCAGGCCUAACACAUGCAAGUCGAGCGGAUGAAGGGAGCUUGCUCCUGGAUUCAGCGGCGGACGGGUGAGUAAUGCCUAGGAAUCUGCCUGGUAGUGGGGGAUAACGUCCGGAAACGGGCGCUAAUACCGCAUACGUCCUGAGGGAGAAAGUGGGGGAUCUUCGGACCUCACGCUAUCAGAUGAGCCUAGGUCGGAUUAGCUAGUUGGUGGGGUAAAGGCCUACCAAGGCGACGAUCCGUAACUGGUCUGAGAGGAUGAUCAGUCACACUGGAACUGGGACACGGUCCAGACUCCUACGGGAGGCAGCAGUGGGGAAUAUUGGAAAAUGGGCGAAAGCCUGAUCCAGCCAUGCCGCGUGGGUGAAGAAGGUCUUCGGAUUGUAAAGCACUUUAAGUUGGGAGGAAGGGCAGUAAGUUAAUACCUUGCUGUUUGGACGUUACCAACAGAAUAAGCACCGGCUAACUUCGU